CUGGGCAGAGGCUCCGAGCCACGAGACCCCCGCCCCCUGCCCCGGGACCCACCUGGGCGGAGGCGAGGGCAGGGGCGCUGGGGGCCCAGAGAGAGGACGCCGCGAUUGAUGGAUGAGCUGUUUCCAGCAUUCCUGUGCGUCUGCUGGUUGAGGCUGCAGUCAAGAUUUGGGGCUGUCUCGUUUGUUGUGGGCUGAAAAUGAAGGCAACUCGGACUAAGAAGACGACUGCUUUCCAACUGCCCUCUGGCCCUGCAGCCCGCGGAUUUGAGGAAGGGGCUGGGAUCCUUCCCCUUGCUCCCUGGUUGUUCUCGGAGUUACAGCAGCCCCGCGGCAGCUCUGCCUCCUAGUGCACAUGUGAGGCAGCGCGCCCUUCUCAUCCAGAAGCCUCCUCGCGGUGCUGCCAGCAAGGGAGUUUUUCUGUAUUCACUCCGGUGGAACAAGCGAAACUUGACAACCCCAAGCCAAACCAAAACACACGAGCCAUUGUA